rnacentral:rRNA from 1 species
GCCUAUUACAUGCAAGUCGAGCGGACAGAUGGGAGCUUGCUCCCUGAUGUUAGCGGCGGACGGGUGAGUAACACGUGGGUAACCUGCCUGUAAGACUGGGAUAACUCCGGGAAACCGGGGCUAAUACCGGAUGGUUGUUUGAACCGCAUGGUUCAGACAUAAAAGGUGGCUUCGGCUACCACUUACAGAUGGACCCGCGGCGCAUUAGCUAGUUGGUGAGGUAACGGCUCACCAAGGCGACGAUGCGUAGCCGACCUGAGAGGGUGAUCGGCCACACUGGGACUGAGACACGGCCCAGACUCCUACGGGAGGCAGCAGUAGGGAAUCUUCCGCAAUGGACGAAAGUCUGACGGAGCAACGCCGCGUGAGUGAUGAAGGUUUUCGGAUCGUAAAGCUCUGUUGUUAGGGAAGAACAAGUGCCGUUCAAAUAGGGCGGCACCUUGACGGUACCUAACCAGAAAGCCACGGCUAACUACGUGCCAGCAGCCGCGGUAAUACGUAGGUGGCAAGCGUUGUCCGGAAUUAUUGGGCGUAAAGGGCUCGCAGGCGGUUUCUUAAGUCUGAUGUGAAAGCCCCCGGCUCAACCGGGGAGGGUCAUUGGAAACUGGGGAACUUGAGUGCAGAAGAGGAGAGUGGAAUUCCACGUGUAGCGGUGAAAUGCGUAGAGAUGUGGAGGAACACCAGUGGCGAAGGCGACUCUCUGGUCUGUAACUGACGCUGAGGAGCGAAAGCGUGGGGAGCGAACAGGAUUAGAUACCCUGGUAGUCCACGCCGUAAACGAUGAGUGCUAAGUGUUAGGGGGUUUCCGCCCCUUAGUGCUGCAGCUAACGCAUUAAGCACUCCGCCUUGGGGAGUACGGUCCGCAAGACUGAAACUCCAAGGGAUUUGACGGGGGGCCCGCACAAGCGGGGGGAGCUUGGGGUUUAAUUCAAAGCAACGGCGAAGAACCUUAACCAAGGCUUUGACUUUCUUCUGG